rnacentral:rRNA from 1 species
UACGGAGGGUGCAAGCGUUAUCCGGAUUCACUGGGUUUAAAGGGUGCGUAGGCGGGCAGGUAAGUCCGUGGUGAAAUCUCCGAGCUUAACUCGGAAACUGCCAUGGAUACUAUUUGUCUUGAAUACUGUGGAGGUGAGCGGAAUAUGUCAUGUAGCGGUGAAAUGCUUAGAGAUGACAUAGAACACCAAUUGCGAAGGCAGCUCACUGCGCAGUUAUUGACGCUGAGGCACGAAAGCGUGGGGAUCAAACAGG